AUAUUCUGCCAUCUUGCUACCAUUUAUUGCUGUUACUGAAAUUUCUCUUGCUGAUGAAAUUGAACUAUAUGAUACUCUGUCAUUGGAUUAUAACCAGAUUUUGCAUUUAAUUGGAAGAAACUUUUGAAUGUGAUGUAGGAGACGUUGGUGGCCUCUUGAGCAUAUUGCAUAUCAUUUCAAGAUUGCUGGAUGUUUAACUACAAGUUCCACUAUGUUUUCAAAUCAUCAGUGAAAAAAACAGGGCUGGAUGCCAGUUUGAAAAAGGAGAUCCAAUAUUUUCUUCUACCGAUUUAACAAGGUGUCUCUACUGCAACCAUGUUUGAAUAAAAAUGAAAUUUUUGAUUAUGGCUUAUGACUUUAUUCCACCGAUGGUAUGUAAUAAAAGCAAGCUUCGUACGUGUUCGUUGUCGUUCCUAUGUUCUAUCUUGAUACGGUUAAGAACUUCGCUGAAGGAAGGAUCGUUCAUUUCAGUUAUGAUCAUGGCCCAUGGCUCUAGAGAGGCCAAUUCCGAAACAGCCCUCAUCUAGCUUCAAGGAGAGGUAUUAAUUAAACAAACAAAUUAAACAUUGGAUUAAGGCCGGUGGAGUUCACUUGGGACAU